rnacentral:rRNA from 1 species
GAUGAACGCUGGCGGCGUGCCUAAUACAUGCAAGUCGAGCGAACAGACGAGGAGCUUGCCCCUCUGACGUUAGCGGCGGACGGGUGAGUAACACGUGGCUAACCUACCUAUAAGACUGGGAUAACUUCGGGAAACCGGAGCUAAUACCGGAUAAUAUAUUGAACCGCAUGGUUCAAUAGUGAAAGACGGUUUUGCUGUCACUUAUAGAUGGAUCCGCGCCGCAUUAGCUAGUUGGUAAGGUAACGGCUUACCAAGGCAACGAUGCGUAGCCGACCUGAGAGGGUGAUCGGCCACACUGGAACUGAGACACGGUCCAGACUCCUACGGGAGGCAGCAGUAGGGAAUCUUCCGCAAUGGGCGAAAGCCUGACGGAGCAACGCCGCGUGAGUGAUGAAGGUCUUCGGAUCGUAAAACUCUGUUAUUAGGGAAGAACAAAUGUGUAAGUAACUAUGCACGUCUUGACGGUACCUAAUCAGAAAGCCACGGCUAACUACGUG